rnacentral:rRNA from 1 species
UACGGAGGGUGCGAGCGUUGUCCGGAAUCACUGGGCGUAAAGAGCGCGUAGGCGGUCCGAUAAGUCGGCUGUGAAAGUCAGGGGCUCAACCCUUGAAAGCCGGCCGAUACUGUCGGACUAGAGUCCGGAAGAGGCAAGUGGAAUUCCCGGUGUAGCGGUGAAAUGCGCAGAUAUCGGGAGGAACACCAAUGGCGAAGGCAGCUUGCUGGGACGGUACUGACGCUGAGGCGCGAAAGCGUGGGGAGCAAACAGG